rnacentral:rRNA from 1 species
GACGAACGCUGGCGGCGUGGAUUAGGCAUGCAAGUCGAACGGUAUCAUCCUUUCGGGGGUGAGAGAGUGGCGAACUGGUGAGUAACACGUAGGUUAUCUACCCUCAAGACGGGGACAACCCAGGGAAACUUGGGCUAAUACCGGAUGUGAGCAACUUUUAGUUGUUUGAAAGGUGGCGUAAGCUGUCGCUUGGGGAUGAGCCUGCGUCCUAUUAGUUAGUUGGUGAGGUAACGGCUCACCUAGGCAAUGAUAGGUAGGCGGCCUUAACGGGUGGUCGCCCACACUGGGAUUGAGAUACGGCCCAGACUCCUACGGGAGGCAGCAGUCGAGAAUAGUCUACAAUGGUCGGAAGACUGAUAGUGCGACGCCGCGUGAACGAUGAAUCCCUUCGGGGUGUAAAGUUCUUUUAUAUGUGAGCAGUGCUUCUUAUAUUAACAGUAUGGGGAAGAGAGAUAUUAGCAUAUGAAUAAGCAACGGCUAACUCCGUGCCAGCAGCCGCGGUAAAACGU